rnacentral:rRNA from 1 species
AUUGAACGCUGGCGGAAUGCUUUACACAUGCAAGUCGAGCGGCAGCGCGGGGGCGAACCCUCGGCGGCGAGCGGCGAACGGGUGAGUAAUACAUCGGAACGUGUCCUUAAGUGGGGAGUAGCUCGGCGAAAGCCGGAUUAAUACCGCAUAAGCUCUGAGGAGGAAAGGCGGGGGCGUCCGUAAGGACCUCGCGCUGUUGGAGCGGCCGAUGUCGGAUUAG